CAGCCGCCACGGGAAUACGAAGGGGGCUAGCGUUGUUCGGAUUUACUGGGCGUAAAGGGCGCGUAGGCGGACUGAUAAGUCAGGGGUGAAAUCCCAAGGCUCAACCUUGGAACUGCCUUUGAUACUGUUUGUCUUGAGUUCGAGAGAGGUAAGUGGAACUGCGAGUGUAGAGGUGAAAUUCGUAGAUAUUCGCAAGAACACCAGUGGCGAAGGCGGCUUCUUGGCCUGUAACUGACACUGAGGCGCGAAAGCGUGGGGAGCAAACAGGAUUAGAUACCCGCGUAGUCCCUGUCUCUUAUAC
rnacentral:rRNA from 1 species